rnacentral:tRNA from 1 species
GCCCGGGUAGCUCAGUCGGCAGAGCAGCUCACUCGUAAUGAGCAGGUCAGGGGUUCAAAUCCCCUCUCGGGCUCCA